rnacentral:rRNA from 1 species
AACGAACGCUGGCGGCAGGCUUAACACAUGCAAGUCGAGCGCCCCGCAAGGGGAGCGGCAGACGGGUGAGUAACGCGUGGGAACGUACCUUUUGGUUCGGAACAACUCCGGGAAACUGGAGCUAAUACCGGAUAAGCCCUAACGGGGAAAGAUUUAUCGCCGAAAGAUCGGCCCGCGUCUGUUUAGCUAGUUGGUGAGGUAAUGGCUCACCAAGGCGACGAUCAGUAGCUGGUCUGAGAGGAUGAUCAGCCACACUGGGACUGAGACACGGCCCAGACUCCUACGGGAGGCAGCAGUGGGGAAUAUUGGAAAAUGGGCGCAAGCCUGAUCCAGCCAUGCCGCGUGAGUGAUGAAGGCCUUAGGGUUGUAAAGCUCUUUUGUCCGGGAAGAUAAUGACUGUACCGGAAGAAUAAGCCCCGGCUAACUUCGUG